rnacentral:tRNA from 1 species
UGACUUGAUACUUUAAAGUAAAAGAUCUGAUUUGCAUUCAGACAAUAAGUUUUUUAAACUUUCGGGUCAA